rnacentral:rRNA from 1 species
GAUGAACGCUAGCGGAAGGCAUAAUACAUGCAAGUCGAACGGAUGUAGCAAUACAUUAGUGGCGCACGGGUGCGUAACGCGUAUGCAACCCACCUUCAUCAGGGGGAUAACUACCCGAAAGGGUGGCUAACACCGCAUAAUACUAUUGAGUGGCAUCACUUGAUAUUUAAAUCUGAGGAGGAUGAAGAUGGGCAUGCGUCUGAUUAGCUAGUUGGUGUGGUAACGGCGCACCAAGGCGACGAUCAGUAGGGGAACUGAGAGGUUGGUCCCCCACACUGGCACUGAGGUACGGGCCAGACUCCUACGGGAGGCAGCAGUAGGGAAUAUUGGUCAAUGGUGGGAACACUGAACCAGCCAUUCCGCGUGCAGGAAGAAGGGUCUCUGACUUGUAAACUGCUUUAGCAAGGGAAGAAAAAGCUCAUGCGUGAGAAAUUGACGGUACCUUGAGAAUAAGCACCGGCUAACUACGUGCCAGCCGCCGCCGUAAAAC